GUCAGGACUGAAAUUCUCCACAACAUUGACCCAAUGGACAAAACUGAAGCUAUCAGAGUUGGAGAUUACAAACUAUUACACGGACUUAUUACUGGAUAUUGGGAUGGCUGGUAUCCCCCAUAUCAAUUGUCUGAAAAAUUGAGUUAUGACAAAAUGCAGAUGAGUGCAUAUAAACACACCAACAGGAGUGAACUAGGUAUUUUACAGGAAACUGGCAAACCAGUGACAAUACAGUGCGGUCCUAAGCCUGCCAAUGCCAGCACAAAUUGUCAAGCCAAUACGGUGCCAUGUUUGUACCAUAUUCCAUCGGAUCCUUGCGAGUACAAUAACAUAGCAAGCAGUCAUAUGGAUAUUGUAACAAAACUGUUGGCUAAAAUUGUGGAGUACAAGAGCACAAUGAUGGUACCCCCUGGAAAUAAACCAAUUGACCCAGCGGGAAAUCCACGAGUCAAUGGAGGCAUAUGGAGGCCAUGGCUGGACUAACUGACAGACAUGCCAACUUAAGAGGGGUUUUUUUAGCAUAGAAGAUAUAUUUUUGUAUGCUUUUUUUUUCAAAUAUAUACAUUCCUAGAUCAACUAUUUUAAUGCAGCUUUAAGCAAUAGUACUUUAAUAGUAGAUGCUGAAACUGUAGAAUGAAGAUUCAGAAACAAAUUUUGAUCAAAGGUCUGGUUAAUUGGAAUCUAUCAGUUCUUAAAUUAGAUAAUAUAAUGACUGACCAACUUUUGAUAGUCAUAUGAACUUGAAGUAAAAAAUCCAAAGUGUUUGCAAUUGACUGAAAUUUUCCUUCCUUGACUUUCAUGAAAAGUCAUUCACAGGUUAGCCUUGUCAAGCUGAUGAUCUUCAUUUAUGGAAUUUUCAUUACAGAGUGUCAAAGAUCAGUAGGUUCAUUAUUAUUGUAAACUCUUAAUUUAACAAGGCUUGAAUGCAUCCAGCAAAAAUCCUGAGAAGUAUUCCUCACGAUUUUUAUAAUUUUGCUUAUUUCACAUUUUAUGACAUUUGUGAAUUAUGAUAUUGUAAGUACCACAAAAGUUGGCGCUUGAGAUUUUAUUUUCUAGUAUUUGCAUAAAAUAAAGAAUCUACAGUUAACCUUAUCAGAUACUUUCCGACCAAUACCUCAAAAGCCUUUUGUCACAUACCAGUCACAAUUUCCUUAUUGUUUCUGAUUUUCAGAACAGAAAUCAACAUGUUUGCUGGUACCAAAUAUUUGGCUGGUGCAUAUAAUAUAUUGUUUGUCUUUCUUUUGUCCUUUACACUUUGAAUUUCAUAAUGAAAUGUUUAGCUCAGUUUCAAAUAAACUAUUCAAGAUGGUUCAUAUCCUGGUCAAAUGUAUAAUGCAAUGGCUCUAUACCAUUCUUUAUUGGCAUCUUCCAUACUUUAAUUAUUCUACUGGCAUUUUACUGAAAGUUUUGUUUUUGUAUCUGUUGUUUUAUUUUUGUUUUAUAUGUAUAUAUAUACUAUAUAUGAUUCCUGUACUGUAAGCUUGCUUGUUGAUAGGGCUUUGGGUUAUACUUACAUGUAGUUGUAUUGCUUGCUUUCUUUGGACAAUUUUUUUGUCAAGAGUAAUUUAUACGUUAGUCAAUUUGAUCUGAAAAGCUGCCCAUGAUAUGUUCAAUACAUGUUGCGAAUACAUGUACUAAAUCUUGGGUUUUUAUGACAUAAUUUGAUCUGGACACCAUUUCACAAUACAAUGCUUCCCCAUAUUUGCUUUUGUUUUUACAUUCAAGUUCUAAUAUAAACAAAUAUAUAUAACAUGUAUACAAAAUUCACAUAUUAUUAAGUACUGUAGAAUAAAAAAAAAUCCAUUUGAACAU
rnacentral:misc_RNA from 1 species